rnacentral:rRNA from 1 species
UACGUAGGGGGCAAGCGUUGUCCGGAAUCAUUGGGCGUAAAGAGCGUGUAGGCGGCCCGGUAAGUCCGCUGUGAAAGUCCAGGGCUCAACCCUGGGAUGCCGGUGGAUACUGUCGGGCUCGAGUCCGGAAGAGGAGUGUGGAAUUCCCGGUGUAGCGGUGAAAUGCGCAGAUAUCGGGAAGAACACCCGUGGCGAAGGCGGCUCUCUGGGGACGGUACUGACGCUGAGACGCGAAAGCGUGGGGGAGCGAACAGG